rnacentral:misc_RNA from 1 species
GAUGAAGAACGUAGCGAAAUGCGAUAAGUAAUGUGAAUUGCAGAAUUCAGUGAAUCAUCGAAUCUUUGAACGCACAUUGCGCCCGCCAGCACUCUGGCGGGCAUGCCUGUUCGAGCGUCAUUUCAACCAUCAAGCCCCCAGGGGCUUGUGCUGGGGCCCUGCGGCUGCCCGCAGGCCCUGAAAACCAGUGGCGGGCUCGCUAGUCACACCGAGCGCAGAAGCACAUCUCGCUCAGGGCGUGCGGCGGGCUCCUGCCGUGAAACCCCCCACUGUAACCCCAAAGGUUGACCUCGGAUCAGGUAGGAAUACCCGCUGAACUUAAGCAUAUCAAUAAGCGGAGGA